rnacentral:lncRNA from 1 species
UCAAACAUUGAUGGAGAUUCUGGUGUUAACAGAUCUAUAGAGGGUCCAGUAGCAACAACUUUACACAGUUCAGAGGUUAAUAUGUCUAUGACUAUGGCUCCGGUAUUCACGUCCGCUACUUAUAGUUCUGCUGAUGAUAAUCAGGUAAUUUUCCAGUUUUUCAAAACCCAUCUCCGUGUAGUAAGGACAAUGAUGAGCUUGAAAGAAAUGUCGAUAAGUUAAAACAUUUCAGGAGAAUAUGUUGAUCUGGCCUUACCACUAGUUUAUUCACAGGCCUCUUCUGGGGAUAAUUAGAAAGUAGUUAUUUCACAGGAACUUUUGAUACCCCGGAAAGGGGGGGGGGUUCUUCCUAUAUUUUUAUAUGUACGAUUGUGACGCAAAAACAGGGUCCCUUAUUUUCAUGUCUUGCUGAUUAGAACAGGGUUGCUUUUUCAUGCCCUGCUGUCGGGAACAGGUUUAUUUUUAAACAAUCGAUUUAAAAAGGACAGAUUGGAUACUGGAUAUUGACACAAGUAUGUUUUUGCUUACUUAAUAAACUGUUUGGUGCUAGGUUUUAUAUUUCUGAACUAGUCUAGAAAAUAUAGGUCUCUGUCCAGAACAAGGUAUACAUUUUCGAGCGUGUUAAUACAAUACAUUUUCUGAGCGUGUCUAAUACAGGGUAUACAUUUUCGAAUUCUAAGCAUGUCUAGAACAGGUGAUUUUUUUCAAUAUUUCUGUUUAGAACAGGGUAUGUUUUGCAAUGUUUUCUGGUUAGAACAGGGUAUGAUUUGGAAAGUGCUGUCGGCACAGUUAUACCCGAAAAGAUAGUCAGUUACUUCCCCUCCCCC